rnacentral:rRNA from 1 species
UCGGGAAUUUUGGGCAAUGGGCGAAAGCCUGACCCAGCAACGCCGCGCGAGGGAUGAAGUAUUUCGGUAUGUAAACCUCGAAAGAAUGGGAAGAAUAAAUGACGGUACCAUUUAUAAGCUCCGGCUAACUACGUGCCAGCAGCCGCGGUAAUACGUAGGGGGCAAGCGUUGUCCGGAUUUACUGGGUGUAAAGAGCGCGCAGGCGGAAUGGAAAGUCAGUGGUGAAAUCCUACAGCUUAACUGUAGAACUGCCUUUGAUACUUUCAUUCUUGAGUUCGGGAGAGAGCGACGGAAUUCCAGGUGUAGUGGUGAAAUACGUAGAUAUCUGGAAGAACACCAGUUGCGAAGGCGGUCUCUUGGUCCGAUACUGACGCUGAGGCGCGAAAGCGUGGGGAGCAAACA